AAAUAUUGUGGUGUGUUUCCCUUAACCAUAUUUGAACCUUCAUUAUAACCUUCAGCAUCAAUUCAGUUGUAGAGAGGCCAGGAUUUGGAUGCAGAAGAAACUGUAUAUUCUUCCUUGUAAAACACAAAUAAAUGUUAAUCUUGUUGUCAGCUUGCCCAUUUAGUGAUUUAGCUAGCAAACCAUUUGCUGUAGUUGUGGGGAUAUCGGUCCGGCAAGUGAGUCUUGCACUGUGCAGCAGCAUUUUAUUAAAACACUGACAUAUUCACUCCCUUUUGUUGAUGAAGUCAAUGUGUUUACGUCACAGGAGCGUGCACCCUGCUUAGGGAAGUGUUCCUGCCAGAACCAACUGAGCAGAAGGGUGGUGGGAAAUAGACUGAAGGUGAUGAUAGGUUGUUACAUUAGUGUAUCAAUGAACACUGUUUGAUGGGGAGAGCUUACAGUGCUUGAAAUGAGGUAAGAAGUCAUUAUUUACUUGGGAAAACAAUAAAAUGUUUCAGUCAUAACUUAUAUAUUCAUUGCUUAAGAAAUAGUUGAUGCAGGUAAUGGGACAAGGAGCUCCUUGUCUCUCUUCGCAAGUGCAUGAUGGUUUGUAAAUACUGUCCAGCAUUUGGGGUUAUUGAAAUAAAUAUCACAAGAGAGGCCCUAA